rnacentral:rRNA from 1 species
UUAGAGUGUUCAAAGCAGGCAGAUCCAAUUUUCUGCCACCGAAUACAUUAGCAUGGGAUAAUGGAAUAGGACCCUGUCCUCCUAUUUUCAGUUGGUUUUGGCAGCGCGAGGACUAGGGUAAUGAUUAAUAGGGAUAGUUGGGGGCAUUAAUAUUUAAUUGUCAGAGGUGAAAUUCUUGGAUUUAUGAAAGAUUAACUUCUGCGAAAGCAUCUGCCAAGGAUGUUUUCAUUAAUCAAGAACGAAAGUUAGGGGAUCGAAGACGAUCAGAUACCGUCGUAGUCUUAACCAUAAACGAUGCCGACCAGCGAUUAGGAGACGUUGAAUACAAAACACCACCAUCGGCGCGGUCGUCCUUGGCGUGUCUCGGCUUCACGGCCGGGGCGCGCGAGGGCGGUUUAGCCCGGUGGCACCGGUGAAUGACUCCCCUAGCAGCUUGUGAGAAA